CGAUCCCGAUCUUAGUUAGGUUACGGAAUAGGCUCCUUGUCGUGCAGGCCGAGAAGAUAGAGAAGAAUAAAAGGGAAGUUGUUAUUUCUGUAUUUCAAUUAUAUGACUGUUUUGAUUUCUUCCUAAUUGUAUUUUGUCUCUUUAAGCACUUUUUGUUUAAGCUCAUGCAAAAUGAAGAAGGUGAUGGAUUUCGUUUGUGUGUGACUCCCAUAAAAGAAAGAAGAACAUGCUGCAAUAAAUGAAAGGAGUUGUAACGUCAAAAACUGAUAUGAAAGCAACUAAAGCUGUGAUGCAAAUCAAUAGUGGAGCUAAAUGACAAUGAGGGGUAAAUUACUCUGACAAAAGCGUACAAAGAUUUCUUAGUUUGUUGUAAUAUUAUGGAAAAUUUCCAGAGAAUUUAUUUCAGUGA